CCUAACCCGAUCUCAACAAAUUCCCAUUUUUAGAGCUCAUUUGAUACACAAAGGUAGGCAGCCGAUCUGUUUAUUGAUGUCCUGACCAGGCUAUGGAUACCCAUCUUCUCAAAGCCAUCUUCGCCUUAUUUUGGCCUAACCCUAGUGUGUCUCUCUUCACGAGUUAACCACCUAAACCCGAUAGGCAUCUUCUGAAAACCUUCAACGAAGCCAAAGUCGAGGCAUAUCUUCACAUUUCUUCCUCAAAGGUUGAAUUUUUUUAAGGUUUUUGGAAACCGAAGUAGAGCUUCCUCUUGCUGUGGAUUAAUGAAUCACAGAAGGAGAUGGACCACAACUCAAAGGGAGUUUUUAGCAUCUCAUCAUAUACACAAUAUUUCAAUGUGGAUAUCGAUGUUGUCCUGAACAGAUUAAUAAGCUCCUUGCAUCCCAUUGGUGGAGAUUUUUUCAGCAAGAUUGAUGCCAACCCUGAUUUAUAUGGACUUAUCUGGACCUCCACUACAUUGAUAUUUGUGAAUGUUGCCCUUGGAAACUAUGCCACCUACCUGACAAAGAAAUAGAG